AUUCCUGGGUUAAAAAAGAGAGACAAGGGCAGUGUGGUACGUGAAGCUGUGGAUUAUGUGAAACGACUUAAAGAACGAGUGAAAGAGCUGGAAAAUCAAAAGAGAGAGAAUACGAAUUCAAGAAGCCUCACCAAGAAACCAACAAGUGUGGAAGAAGAACUUCCAGAAAUGAAGAUUUCCGUUUCAGACAGGGAAGUGCUUAUAGGAAUUUUUUGUCACAAUCCAAACAAUACUUUAGUCAAAGUGUUGUCGUUGCUCGAUAAUCUUCAUCUUUCUACGAGAUGUUCUAGUGUGUUGCCAUUUGGAACUUCAACAUUUAAGGUCACUAUAAUUGCUAAGAUGAAUGACGAAUAUAGCAUGACCAUCGAUGACCUAAUAAAAGAAGUUGGAGGACGCUUAUUGAGUUUGA
rnacentral:sRNA from 1 species